rnacentral:rRNA from 1 species
AUGCGUAGGAAGCUACCCGACAGAGGGGGAUACCAGUUGGAAACGACUGUUAAUACCGCAUAAUGUCUACGGACCAAAGUGUGGGACCUUCGGGCCACAUGCUGUCGGAUGCGCCUACGUGGGAUUAGCUAGUUGGUGAGGUAAUGGCUCACCAAGGCGACGAUCCCUAGCUGGUUUGAGAGGAUGAUCAGCCACACUGGAACUGAGACACGGUCCAGACUCCUACGGGAGGCAGCAGUGGGGAAUAUUGGACAAUGGGCGAAAGCCUGAUCCAGCCAUGCCGCGUGUGUGAAGAAGGCCUUCGGGUUGUAAAGCACUUUCAGUAGGGAGGAAGAGUUGAG